GACGAACCGUCCAAACGUUGUUCGGAAUCACUGGGCUUAAAGGGCGCGUAGGCGGGUUCCCAAGUCGGUGGUGAAAUCUUUCGGCCCAACCGGAAAACAGCCGCCGAUACUGGGGACCUCGAGGGAGGUAGGGGUCGAGGGAACUUCCGGUGGAGCGGUGAAAUGCGUAGAUAUCGGGAGGAACACCAGUGGCGAAGGCGACUUCCUGGCCUGUUCUUGACGCUGAGGCGCGAAAGCGUGGGUAGCAAACAGG
rnacentral:rRNA from 1 species